rnacentral:rRNA from 1 species
CCCUUAGAUGUUCUGGGCCGCACGCGUGCUACACUGAGUGGAUCAGCGGGUCAGGUUGCGCGAAAGCGUUUCCUAAUCUUGAAAUCCGCUCGUGAUGGGGAUUGACGGCUGCAAUUUUCUGUCAUGAACGAGGAAUACCUUGUAAGCGCGAGUCAUCAUCCCGCGCUGAAUACGUCCCUGCCCUUUGUACACACCGCCCGUCGCUCCUACCGAUUGAGUGGUCCGGUGAGGCUUUGGGAUCUGAGCGGAAAGAGCGUUUCGCUCGUUCUGCCCGGAAAACUCAGUCGAACCUUAUCAUUUAGAGGAAGGAGAAGUCGUAACA